GAUGAACGCUAGCGGGAGGCCUAACACAUGCAAGCCGAGCGGUAUUGUUUCUUCGGAAAUGAGAGAGCGGCGUACGGGUGCGGAACACGUGUGCAACCUGCCUUUAUCUGGAGGAUAGCCUUUCGAAAGGAAGAUUAAUACUCCAUAAUAUAUUAAUUGGCAUCAAUUGAUAUUGAAAACUCUGGUGGAUAGAGAUGGGCACGCGCAAGAUUAGCUAGUUGGUGAGGUAACGGCUCACCAAGGCAAUGAUCUUUAGGGGGCCUGAGAGGGUGAUCCCCCACACUGGUACUGAGACACGGACCAGACUCCUACGGGAGGCAGCAGUGAGGAAUAUUGGUCAAUGGGUGCAAGCCUGAACCAGCCAUCCCGCGUGAAGGAUUAAGGUCCUAUGGAUUGUAAACUUCUUUUGUAUAGGGAUAAACCUACCCUCGUGAGGGUAGCUGAAGGUACUAUACGAAUAAGCACCGGCUAACUCCGUGCCAGCCGCCGCUGUAAUAC
rnacentral:rRNA from 1 species